GCGAUUUUAGCUUAUACGGUAGAGCAACAGGUUGUGGUUUUGUAGGGUCGGGUUCGAUUCCCGAAAGUCGCC
rnacentral:tRNA from 1 species